ACGAAGGCGAUGAUGUUGAAAAACUACCUAUUUUAUGAAGGAUUGAUUUCUUUUGUGAUUAGAAAAUUACCAAUGGAUCCUUCUGAGCCUUCA